rnacentral:rRNA from 1 species
CACGUAGGCGGGUUUGUAAGUAGGGGGUGAAAUCCCAGGGCUCAACCCUGGAACUGCCUUCUAGACUGCAAGCCUGGAGGUCAGGAGAGGCGAGUGGAAUUCCGAGUGUAGAGGUGAAAUUCGUAGAUAUUCGGAGGAACACCAGUGGCGAAGGCGACUCGCUGGACUGAUACUGACGCUGAGGUGCGAAAGCGUGGGGAGCAAACA